rnacentral:rRNA from 1 species
CUGGCUCAGGACGAACGCUGGCGGCGUGCCUAAUACAUGCAAGUCGAACGGUCUUUCUAUGGAAGCUUGCUUCCACUGAGAAGAUAGUGGCGAACGGGUGAGUAACACGUGGGUAACCUGCCCAUAAGAGGGGGGAUAACAUCCGGAAACGGGUGCUAAUACCGCAUAGUUUUCUUGGUCGCAUGAUCGGGAAAGGAAAGACGGCCUUUGUGCUGUCGCUUAUGGAUGGACCCGCGGCGUAUUAGUUAGUUGGUGAGGUAACGGCUCACCAAGACGAUGAUACGUAGCCGACCUGAGAGGGUGAUCGGCCACAUUGGGACUGAGACACGGCCCAAACUCCUACGGGAGGCAGCAGUAGGGAAUCUUCCGCAAUGGACGAAAGUCUGACGGAGCAACGCCGCGUGAGUGAAGAAGGUUUUUUCGGAUCGUAAAACUCUGUUGUCAGAGAAGAACAAGUUGGAGAGUAACUGCUCCAGCCUUGACGGUAUCUGACCAGAAAGCCACGGCUAACUACGUGCCAGCAGCAGC